rnacentral:misc_RNA from 1 species
GAUGAAGAACGUAGCGAAAUGCGAUAAGUAAUGUGAAUUGCAGAAUUCAGUGAAUCAUCGAAUCUUUGAACGCAUCUUGCGCUCCUUGGUAUUCUGAGGAGCAUGCCUGUUUGAGUGUCAUUAAAUUCUCAACUACACUGACUUUGAAUUGGUGUGGCUUGGAUUUGGGGGGAAAAUUGUUGUGGGCUUUUUGUAUAGUCUGCUCCCCUGAAAUUGAUUACCGGUACCUUUGUGGAACUGUCUACAGGUGUGAUAAUUAUCUACAUCUUAGACAUCUGCUGGAAUGCUGCUUUCUAAACCUUACUUGUAUUGACAAUCUUGACCUCAAAUCAGGUAGGACUACCCGCUGAACUUAAGCAUAUCAAUAAGCGGAGGA